CACGUAUACAUGUGCUGUGUACGAUCACUGUGCCGUCUACCUGUGUUGUUUUUGUACACGUGAGUAUGUUGUCACAUGUCACUUGUCUUACCUUGUUACGUCCAUAUAAGGUAAUUGUUCUAAAUAUAGGUGUUACCUCGUUUUCGUUAGUGGUCAGUCCAGUUGUCUUUGUAACAUGUUUUGGCGCGGUUUUUAGUAUUCGUUCAUAGACAGAGCUAAAGGGUGGAUGUAAUUUAUAUCCAGAAGUUUGAGUAUUGAGGUCUUUCUCUAGAUCUGAGAUGAUAGUUUUCGAUUGCGAACGCGCGUAUACAGAUCUUCAUUCGUGUAAACCCCCGACCCAUAGUUGGGGUUUUUUUGAUUAUGUUCCACAUAUUGUGGGAAUAAACCGGUAAACAAGAAAUCUGCCUCGACCUUGACUUUUCAUUCAACUUUACAUUGAGCCAAGGGAUAUAACUCUCCAAGCUGACCCUAUAUUCCGGAUUAGCGAGACCGGCUCGGAACAGAGACUAGAAUUACCCUUUUCAUGAUCAGUGGAAGUUGCUUCGCAGGUGGAAGAGAAACACAUGUCAAGCGCUCGAUAUGGAUGUGUUUUUAUGUAUUUUCAUGGAGUGUGGUGAUGUUCGUCAGUAAUUACCAACUUGGAAAAAAGAAGGAACAUUACCAGUAACCAGGUGGAUGCUUCUUACCAACAAAAUAUCCUUCCUGAACACAAAAGGCGUCAUUGCAAAGCUCUGCAAGAAAUGGAUAUCAUGGAGCACGCGUUACCCGAGAUACGCCGCUUCCUUCAAGAAGAAUCCGAAAACAGCAGACGUCAGCGUGAAGAGAUUGUUGCUACUCUGAGAGGUAAUAUGAUACAUUUACUUUUCUAUGAGUUGUAACUAAAUUUGUUUGUUUCUCCUUUCACGUCACUGCGUAGGUCAAAUGAA
rnacentral:lncRNA from 1 species